CAGCAGCCGCGGUAAUACGUAGGGGGCGAGCGUUGUCCGGAAUUAUUGGGCGUAAAGCGCGCGCAGGCGGUCCUUAAAGUCUGAUGUGAAAGCCCACGGCUCAACCGUGGAGGGUCAUUGGAAACUGGGGGACUUGAGUGCAGGAGAGGAGAGCGGAAUUCCACGUGUAGCGGUGAAAUGCGUAGAGAUGUGGAGGAACACCAGUGGCGAAGGCGGCUCUCUGGCCUGUAACUGACGCUGAGGCGCGAAAGCGUGGGGAGCAAACAGGAUUAGAUACCCUGGUAGUCCACGCCGUAAACGAUGAGUGCUAAGUGUUAGAGGGGUCACACCCUUUAGUGCUGCAGCUAACGCGAUAAGCACUCCGCCUGGGGAGUACGGCCGCAAGGCUGAAACUUAAAGGAAUUGGCGGG
rnacentral:rRNA from 1 species